AUGGAAGUGAUGAUUAUUUCCCCAGAUGAUCGACGGUGAAAUUACCGAGCGCUUUUCUCUUUUGAGAAAUCCAAGCCAGGAGUUUCUGAUCCAU